rnacentral:rRNA from 1 species
CCUACGGGUGGCAGCAGUGAGGAAUAUUGGUCAAUGGGCGCAAGCCUGAACCAACCAAGUCGCGUGAGGGAAGACGGCCCUACGGGUUGUAAACCUCUUUUGCCGGGGAGCAAGCCUGAGCACGUGUGCCCCGUCGGGGAGUACCCGGAGAAAAAGCCUCGGCUAACUCCGUGCCAGCAGCCGCGGUAAUACGGAGGAUGCGAGCAUUAUCCGGAUUUAUUGGGUUUAAAGGGUGCGCAGGCGGGCUGUUAAGCCGGCGGUAAAAAUUCAGGGCUCAACCCUGUCGGGCCGGCGGAAGUGGCAGUCUUGAGUGGGCGAGAAGUAUGCGGAAUGCGUGGUGUAGCGGUGAAAUGCAUAGAUAGCACGCAGAAAGCAGAUUGCGAAGGCAGCUUACUAAACUGUGACUGACAUUGAUGCUCGAAAGUGUGGGUAUCAAACAGGAUUAGAUACCCGUGUAGUC